AUCAGCACAGUGAGAGACAAACCACUGAGAUACAUGCCUAACUGUCUUUCCUCUGUAAUGUAAUGAAGAUCUUCCAUGAUGUUAUACUGCUGUUGGAAGGAGAGGACAGGACUGUCUGUGAGUUAUAUGAGAUCAUCUCUACUCUCAGAACAAAGCUCCAACAGCAACCGGUGGAUUCCUUCUUUGGAAUGGAGACAAGUGCUAUUCUACAGCAAUUCACAGAUGAAAAGGUAGCAGCAAUUAAACAUGAUUUUUGCAGUGUCUACAAGUCUGCACUCAGCUACCUUGAAAAGUGGUAUGACUUCUCAGAUGACAACUAUCAAAAGACUGUUGCAAGCUUGGCACUGAAGAAGGAGUUUACAUUGUCUCAUUUCUGUGAUGCAGUGGAGGCCCUCCAGAUAAGAUAAGAUGUACCUUUAUUACGUUCCUCUUAAGAGUUACCAGAGUUACAAGACAUAAGCUGGACAUGGAUGAACUCACUUCACCACACCAGCAGGAAAAUGUGGAGGAAACAGCAACAGCGUCUGUUGUGAGGAAAUGGUCAACCUUGCUGCAAGGCACAAAUACCCCAAAUAUGACUGCAAUUGCAUCAUUUCUCUUCAGCAUUCCUGUUACCAAUGCAUCUGUGGAGAGAGUAUUUUCCCUCGUGGUGGCAGCACGGACUGACCAAUGAAACCAGUGCUCUGUGGAGCUUAUCAAAAGUGAAAUUUCAAGUCAAGAACAACUUUGGAUACAGCUAUAAAAUUCCACUCUUAUGCACUGAGGGAGAAGGCCUUAUUGGAAGCUGCAUUGUUAAACAAAAAGUAUAAUGUCAAGAAGGACAACUAAGGUCAAUGCUUUGAACCAUUUUGGAACUGAGUAGCCUCUGUGGGACUACAUGCUAUUAUUGUAAAAGCAAAAUGUGGUUUUUUUUAAAAAAUUUUUAUGCUGUAAUGUUUCUCUUUGGUGUAUUGUUGGAUAUAAAUGACAUAUAAAUAAAUCUAAAUGGGCCGAG